AAAUAAUAGAAAUAAUUCAUUUCAUUCGACUUGUUAACUUAAUAUUUUUACUUUGAAAUUAACACUUUUGAUCGUUUUAAUUUAUGGCAUUUUUAUAAAAAUAAAUUUUUAGUAAUAACAUAAAUUUAACAGUCUGAUGCAAAAAGCGAAUAUACCCUUUCUUGACAUUGUGCAGAGCAUAAAAAUUAACAGCGGCAGUCGAGCGGAAAUAUAAUGCGUAUGAUGAAUAUUUAUGCAUGUGUGUGCGUGCUAGGCAGCAUGUAGGCAUGCAAAGGCAAAGCCAAAUGCGCAAAAAUAUUGUGUUGUGCGACUCUUCUUCUUGAUUUUCCAUGAGGCGAGUGGAGAAGGUGCCCCUGCGGCCUUCCUAUUAACACAGCUGGCUGGGCUGGACUAGGUGAACUAGCUAAUACCUCGUCAAAAACGUCAACCACCAACUUUAGUAAAGUAUAAGAUAAUAAAGUAAACAGCACAAAAGCUGCUGAGGUAGCAGCAUUAUGCCGAAAGCAGAAAGGAGAAAAAGACAGCUGAGAGUUUGUGGUGCAAGAGCAGCAGAAAGGAAGCGGCUGGCAAAAGGGACAGAGAAGACAGACAAAAAGUUCGAGCCGACAAUGACACAAGCACAUGCGAAAACAAUUGAAGCAUGCAUAAAAGAAAAAAAAAACAGCAGAAAAAAUGUCUUGGAAAGGGGAGCAAAGCAAAUGCAAAAGCAAAAGUUUUAUGGCAAAAGAACUCGAGCCGAAACCGUGCACACACACGCAAGAAAGGAAAUUCAUGUGAUGGGAAACGGAAAUCAAAAGCUGCUACAAUGUUUGCUGUUGUUGCAGCAGCUUUGCAUAUAAUUUAUGAGCCCAAGGGCAUGGGCUAGGGGGCAGGCAGAAGGGGCGACUGAGCAGCGUAGCAAAAGCCUCUUAUGGACGAAGCGAAAAGAUUGAAUUUGUUUGGGCGGAAAAUGAAAAUGUAAAGCAACGAACAAGGCACCGGGUAGAGCGCGCCACAAAGCGUUGGGGCUCCGUGCAGGUGUGAAAUGCGAUCGGACUGCGACGAGCACAGGCUGGCGGCAGGCAAAUGAGGCCAUUACACAAACAAACACACACACAUACACAUAAAUAGAAGUAACCCUUUUUAUUAUGUAGUUGUUGUUGUUUGUGUCCCACGUUUCGGCUGUGGUUUUAGUUUUGAAUUUUUUUGUUGCUUUCAUAAUUCUCUAUUCACACGACGAAGACGCCAAAAGAGCGACAAAAAAGGCGAUACAGGAAAUGUAAAACCAGUCAAGUACACAAAAUAACCGCAACAAAAGCACGAGAAUCUGUCGCCUCUAGUCGCAAAUGCUGAAGUGGUUACAGUUAUGACCAGACAGGAAGAUAUAGGAAGGUAAAGAGUAUGUGUGAAAGACAGAGAGAGACAGUCAGGUAUAGAGAUGCGACUCUUCUCCAUUCAUGGAACCAGUGAAGAUGUUGACCUUUUUUAUUUGAU